rnacentral:misc_RNA from 1 species
GUAGGUGAACCUGCGGAUGGAUCAUUACAAAGUUUAGUCGGUGUUUCCAUCGUACUAUAUAACUUUAACCACUUGUGCACCGUGGCCGAGUAUUAUUUAUAUUUCGGCCAACCAUUUUACCAUAAGACUGACUAGUAUAAUUUACAAAUGGCGUAAAACUUUUAGCAACGGAUCUCUAGGCUCUC